GCCACUGUGGUGGAAUUGGUAAACACGUCAGACUUAAAAUCUGAUGCAAUAUGGGUUCAAGUCCCAUUAGUGGCG
rnacentral:tRNA from 1 species